rnacentral:rRNA from 1 species
UACGAAGGGGGCAAGCGUUGUUCGGAAUUACUGGGCGUAAAGGGCGCGUAGGCGGCUCUUUAAGUCGGGGGUGAAAUCCUGGAGCUCAACUCCAGAACUGCCUUUGAUACUGAAGAGCUUGAGUCCGGGAGAGGUGAGUGGAACUGCGAGUGUAGAGGUGAAAUUCGUAGAUAUUCGCAAGAACACCAGUGGCGAAGGCGGCUCACUGGCCCGAUACUGACGCUGAGGUGCGAAAGCGUGGGGAGCAAACAGG